AGAGUUUGAUCAUGGCUCACGACGAACGCUGGCGGCGUGCCUAAUACAUGCGAGUCGAGCGAACAGAAGGGAGCUUGCUCCCGGAUGUUAGCGGCGGACGGGUGAGUAACACGUGGGUAACCUGCCUGUAAGACUGGGAUAACUCCGGGAAACCGGAGCUAAUACCGGAUAGUUCCUUGAACCGCAUGGUUCAAGGAUGAAAGACGGUUUCGGCUGUCACUUACAGAUGGACCCGCGGCGCAUUAGCUAGUUGGUGGGGUAAUGGCUCACCAAGGCGACGAUGCGUAGCCGACCUGAGAGGGUGAUCGGCCACACUGGGACUGAGACACGGCCCAGACUCCUACGGGAGGCAGCAGUAGGGAAUCUUCCGCAAUGGACGAAAGUCUGACGGAGCAACGCCGCGUGAGUGAUGAAGGUUUUCGGAUCGUAAAGCUCUGUUGUUAGGGAAGAACAAGUGCGAGAGUAACUGCUCGCACCUUGACGGUACCUAACCAGAAAGCCACGGCUAACUACGUGCCAGCAGCCGCGGUAAUACGUAGGUGGCAAGCGUUGUCCGGAAUUAUUGGGCGUAAAGGGCUCGCAGGCGGUUUCUUAAGUCUGAUGUGAAAGCCCCCGGCUCAACCGGGGAGGGUCAUUGGAAACUGGGAAACUUGAGUGCAGAAGAGGAGAGUGGAAUUCCACGUGUAGCGGUGAAAUGCGUAGAGAUGUGGAGGAACACCAGUGGCGAAGGCGACUCUCUGGUCUGUAACUGACGCUGAGGAGCGAAAGCGUGGGGAGCGAACAGGAUUAGAUACCCUGGUAGUCCACGCCGUAAACGAUGAGUGCUAAGUGUUAGGGGGUUUCCGCCCCUUAGUGCUGCAGCUAACGCAUUAAGCACUCCGCCUGGGGAGUACGGUCGCAAGACUGAAACUCAAAGGAAUUGACGGGGGCCCGCACAAGCGGUGGAGCAUGUGGUUUAAUUCGAAGCAACGCGAAGAACCUUACCAGGUCUUGACAUCCUCUGACAACCCUAGAGAUAGGGCUUUCCCUUCGGGGACAGAGUGACAGGUGGUGCAUGGUUGUCGUCAGCUCGUGUCGUGAGAUGUUGGGUUAAGUCCCGCACGAGCGCAACCCUUGAUCUUAGUUGCCAGCAUUCAGUUGGGCACUCUAAGGUGACUGCCGGUGACAAACCGGAGGAAGGUGGGGAUGACGUCAAAUCAUCAUGCCCCUUAUGACCUGGGCUACACACGUGCUACAAUGGACAGAACAAAGGGCUGCAAGACCGCAAGGUUUAGCCAAUCCCAUAAAUCUGUUCUCAGUUCGGAUCGCAGUCUGCAACUCGACUGCGUGAAGCUGGAAUCGCUAGUAAUCGCGGAUCAGCAUGCCGCGGUGAAUACGUUCCCGGGCCUUGUACACACCGCCCGUCACACCACGAGAGUUUGCAACACCCGAAGUCGGUGAGGUAACCUUUAUGGAGCCAGCCGCCGAAGGUGGGGCAGAUGAUUGGGGUGAAAUCGUAACAAGGUAUCC
rnacentral:rRNA from 1 species